rnacentral:rRNA from 1 species
UACGUAGGGCGCAAGCGUUGUCCGGAAUUAUUGGGCGUAAAGAGCUCGUAGGCGGUCUGUCGCGUCGGCUGUGAAAACCCGGGGCUCAACUCCGGGCCUGCAGUCGAUACGGGCUGGCUUGAGUGCGGUAGGGGGAGACUGGAAUUCCUGGUGUAGCGGUGAAAUGCGCAGAUAUCAGGAGGAACACCGGUGGCGAAGGCGGGUCUCUGGGCCGUAACUGACGCUGAGGAGCGAAAGCGUGGGGAGCGAACAGG